rnacentral:rRNA from 1 species
CAGUAGCCGCGGUAAUACAGAGGGUGCGAGCGUUAAUCGGAUUUACUGGGCGUAAAGCGUGCGUUGGCGGCUUUUUAAGUCGGAUGUGAAAUCCCUGAGCUUAACUUAGGAAUUGCAUUCGAUACUGGGAAGCUAGAGUAUGGGAGAGGAUGGUAGAAUUCCAGGUGUAGCGGUGAAAUGCGUAGAGAUCUGGAGGAAUACCGAUGGCGAAGGCAGCCAUCUGGCCUAAUACUGACGCUGAGGUACGAAAGCAUGGGGAGCAAACAGGAUUAGAUACCCCUGUAGUCCCUGUCUCUUAUAA